AACAAAAACAUGGUUUUUAGAAUAUAAUUUAAAAUUUAAUCUGCCCACUGAUUUAAUUAUUGAAGGGCCGCAGUAAAUUGACUGUGCGAAGGUAGCAUAAUCAAUAGUUUUUUAAUUGAAAGCUUGUAUGAAUGAUUGGACGAGAUAAAAUCUGUCUUUAAUUAAUUUAAAAUAGAAUUUAAUUUUUGAGUUAAAAAGCUUAAAUUUUUUUAAAAGACGAGAAGACCCUAUAGAUCUUUAUAAUUAUUUAUUAAAGUUAUUUUAUUGAAAAUUUUAAUAUAUUAUUAAAUUAAUUAUUUUAUUGGGGUAAUAUAAAGAUUUAAAUAAUUCUUUAUUAAUUAAUACAUUUAUUUAUGAUUAUAUGAUCCUUUAUUAUGGAUUAUAAGAUUAAGUUACCUUAGGGAUAACAGCGUAAUUUUUUUUUAGAGUUCAUAUCGAUAAAAAAGUUUGCGACCUCGAUGUUG
rnacentral:rRNA from 1 species